rnacentral:rRNA from 1 species
GAUGAACGCUGGCGGCGUGCCUAAUACAUGCAAGUCGAGCGAACGGACGAGAAGCUUGCUUCUCUGAUGUUAGCGGCGGACGGGUGAGUAACACGUGGAUAACCUACCUAUAAGACUGGGAUAACUUCGGGAAACCGGAGCUAAUACCGGAUAAUAUUUUGAACCGCAUGGUUCAAAAGUGAAAGACGGUCUUGCUGUCACUUAUAGAUGGAUCCGCGCUGCAUUAGCUAGUUGGUAAGGUAACGGCUUACCAAGGCAACGAUGCAUAGCCGACCUGAGAGGGUGAUCGGCCACACUGGAACUUAGACACGGUCCAGACUCCUACGGGAGGCAGCAGUAGGGAAUCUUCCGCAAUGGGCGAAAGCCUGACGGAGCAACGCCGCGUGAGUGAUGAAGGUCUUCGGAUCGUAAAACUCUGUUAUUAGGGAAGAACAUAUGUGUAAGUAACUGUGCACAUCUUGACGGUACCUGAUCAGAAAGCCACGGCUAACUACGUG